rnacentral:rRNA from 1 species
GAUGAACGCUGGCGGCGUGCCUAUUACAUGCAAGUCGAGCGAACAGACGAGGAGCUUGCUCCUCUGACGUUAGCGGCGGACGGGUGAGUAACACGUGGAUAACCUACCUAUAAGACUGGGAUAACUUCGGGAAACCGGAGCUAAUACCGGAUAAUAUAUUGAACCGCAUGGUUCAAUAGUGAAAGACGGUUUUGCUGUCACUUAUAGAUGGAUCCGCGCCGCAUUAGCUAGUUGGUAAGGUAACGGCUUACCAAGGCAACGAUGCGUAGCCGGCCUGAGAGGGUGAUCGGCCACACUGGAACUGAGACACGGUCCAGACUCCUACGGGAGGCAGCAGUAGGGAAUCUUCCGCAAUGGGCGAAAGCUUGACGGAGCAACGCCGCGUGAGUGAUGAAGGUCUUCGGAUCGUAAAACUCUGUUAUUAGGGAAGAACAAAUGUGUAAGUAACUAUGCACGUCUUGACGGUACCUAAUCAGAAAGCCACGGCUAACUACGUG